AUAUUUGUGACCAACAUGCCGACGAGUUUGACCUGCAACAUUUUUAUUUUAAAAUAUUUUUACAAUCUUAAUUUUUUAUUUAACAACAAGCUAUUUUUUAAUCUUAUUUAACAAUAUAAUCCAGCAAGAGGCACUAUUCUGGGGUGUAUUUUCUCUUAUGUUUAAAAAGAGCCACCAAUAUGAGGUAUUCUCCCCACCC
rnacentral:lncRNA from 1 species